AACUCCCGCCCUUAACUCCCAAAGCUAAGAUUCUAAAUUAAACUACUCUCUG
rnacentral:tRNA from 1 species